rnacentral:rRNA from 1 species
CACUAGGAUUCCCUUAGUAACGGCGAGUGAAGAGGGAAGAGCCCAGCACCGAAGCCUGCGACAGUUUUGUUGCUAGGCAAUGUGGUGUUUGGGUCGGCUAGUGGGACUGCCACCGCACUCGAAGUCCAGCAUUGAGUAUGGUUUCUUGGACUUGGCCCAGAGAGGGUGAAAGGCCCGUACGAGUGCAGGUUUCAGACAUGUAAGGCAGUUCACCAGGCCGGCCUUAGAGUCGGGUUGUUUGAGAAUGCAGCCCAAAGUGGGUGGUAAACUCCAUCCAAGGCUAAAUACAAGCACGAGUCCGAUAGCGAACAAGUACCGUGAGGGAAAGUUGAAAAGUACUUUGAAGAGAGAGUAAACAGUACGUGAAACCGCAUAGAGGUAAACGGGUGGCGUCAAGCUGCAAGCCCGGAGGAUUCAGUCAGUCAGGAUUGUGUAUGUGCCUGUGGCAUCGAUCAGUCGGAGUAAGAUAGAGUAGUCUGCCGGGUGACGGCAGGCCCAGUCGUAAGGCUGGGAUUUGUGUACCGGGAUGUGACCGGAGCAAGCUAUUCGUCUAGAGGACUGCCUGGCUGAUGCACUUCCUCUGUACGGUGAACACCACGACCAGUGGUACUGCCAGUCUGCCAUUGCCAAGUCGUGUUGGGUCGGCAUCUGAUGUCGGCUCAGCAUUGAUCACAAGCAAAUUCAGUGGACGGUGUAGGGGUGCCCUAAACACUCUUGCACGCUAUCGUACGCUGGUUGUUAUCGGGUGUGCCUAUUGAUUGCUGUAAUCGUCAGUGGGUGACCUGGUGGGCUAUGGUGGUAUGAAUAACUGUGCAGGGCACUGGAGUUAUCGGUCUCUAGUCUCGCUUGCGCACGCUUUACAGGCGGUUUCGGAGGCAUUGUUACAGCCUGCCGGUGUUUGGGUUUGAUUGUCGUGUCACCUGCACAAGUAGGUCCGGCAGUAGCCUGAGCUCGGUUGGAGUUGUUGACGGUGUCUUCUGUGCGAGUGAGCGUGGGCCUAACAGUCUGUGGUGCAGUGGUAGACGAGCUACCCGACCCGUCUUGAAACACGGACCAAGGAGUUUAACAUGCACGCGAGUCAAAGGGUCCUACGAAACCCAAAGGCGCAGUGAAAGUGAAGCCUCGACUUGUUCGAGGUGUGGUGAGAUCCUGCUGUUUCUCGCAUACCUGUACUUGUGCAUUUUGUGUCAGCACCAGGUUUAGAGCAGUAGGCGCAUCACCGGCCCGUCUCAUGAUGUGGUCGUUGGUUGACUUUUUUCUGUACACCUCGGUGGGCAGUUGGAGUUGCUAGCGCGUCAUCGGGGCGGAGC